CGGGAGAACCACAAGUGGUCGCCACAAUUAUCUGAAUAAUUACAGCGGGUGUGAUUACGCCGGUAACUCCCCCCACCUGCGUUCUUGGGUCUGAACUACAAGCCGAAUUUAAGUUGGGAGGGAAAAAACAACAACAGACGAUUCUCCAAGGAAAAGAGCAAAUUCCAGCGCCGCAGAGUCGUCAUAUGGCUGCUUAAGAUGGCUAACACGCCAGGCUGUUGUAAGAGUUGGAGCGGCUUAUUUAAAUUGAGCUAAUUAAAUUGAGGUAACUCACUACCUCGUUUUCGCUCACUUAACGUUCACCAAACACACACGCGGCAACGGUAGCUGUACGGCAAGUCCUCCAGGCGGCUUCUCUCUCGGUUUCAUCUGGCAAGCGGAUGACCUGAGCUAAAGUGGUGAGACCCACUGAGAUUUCCAUCUCUUUUUCACGGGAGCCCAGAGAAGCAACAAGCGCUUCUCUAUCUCGUUCCUUUCUUCCAGACACAGCAGUUUUCUGCGGUUGGACCCAGCGAUUGGUGGGCCAGGCUCCUGUGAGGCUGAGUGGGACAGAUCAAAGUCAUAUGGAGGACAACAGGGGGUUUCAUUAAAAUCUCCCCCCUUUCCGCCCCAGGAAAGAGAAGCAAACACCGGGUGAAAAAUCAUCUGGCCUAAACUAGUUUAAAAAAAUAAAAAAAAGAGCAACCCACCUGUGGUCUCCCUGGAAACCGGCUGCCACCCCCUCCAGCCACCUUUUAAUGAAACCCCAGAGCCCCCUCAUUAAUUUAUUAAGGAAUCUAUUUUGUGAUGAUUCAUAAACUGCGCGCGCGGCUAGCGCCUGACACGCCGCCGCUAUGCUAAUAUGAAAUAAAAGCCAUGAAUAAUAAAUAAUUUAAUUAGUAACAAUUAGCCGUUCCGAUGGGUCAGCGUGCCGGAGCUGACACACUGGGCUUUAGAAGGGAGCGCUGGCUCCAGAAGACAGGGGGCGCAUUUGG